rnacentral:rRNA from 1 species
GAUGAACGCUGGCGGCGUGCCUAACACAUGCAAGUCGAGCGAAGCACUUACUUUAGAUUUCUUCGGAAUGACGAAGUUUGUGACUGAGCGGCGGACGGGUGAGUAACGCGUGGGCAACCUGCCCUGUACAGGGGGAUAACAGCUAGAAAUGACUGCUAAUACCGCAUAAGCCCACAGCUUCGCAUGAAGCAGUGGGAAAAACUCCGGUGGUACAGGAUGGGCCCGCGUCUGAUUAGCUAGUUGGUAAGGUAACGGCUUACCAAGGCGACGAUCAGUAGCCGACCUGAGAGGGUGACCGGCCACAUUGGGACUGAGACACGGCCCAAACUCCUACGGGAGGCAGCAGUGGGGAAUAUUGCACAAUGGGGGAAACCCUGAUGCAGCGACGCCGCGUGAGCGAUGAAGUAUUUCGGUAUGUAAAGCUCUAUCAGCAGGGAAGAAAGUGACGGUACCUGACUAAGAAGCCCCGGCUAACUACGU